rnacentral:lncRNA from 1 species
UGCUGUAACAUCCCAAAAAUUCAAAACCUUUCAUAUGCAUUGCAUCCAUAAGCAUCAUGCCACAAUUGCAUAUUUGAAUUCAAAUUUGAAUCUCAAAAGGCUAUGGAAAGAUUUUUAUUUCAUUUUAAUCCCUAGGGUUUACACCUAUUUGAGCUUUGGAUCUUCAAACCAUUAAGGUUUAUAUAUAAAAGGGGUUUAUUGCAUAUAUGAGCUAUCCCAUAAUUUUUGGGUAAUUAAUUCGGAGUUGAAAAAGUAUUUUAUUUAAAUAGUUAUAUAGCCCUAAAGGCAUAUAUAGGGCAAAAGUAUUUUUAUAUAUUUUAUUUUGAGGGGAAACUACUCCCAAAAGUUGUAUCAUGAUAGAACAUGAUUUUACAAAUUUUCUAGAAUUUAUUUGGACCAAUUUGGAGUUCAAAAUCAAAAGAUAUCAAAGAAAUGAGAAAAACAGAAAAAGAAAAGGCAAAAAGAAAAAAAAAAGGGUAACCGGACCGGCCC